CAGCUCCUUCUGCAACCGCCAACAUCACCCCUCUCACCCCGACAGGCUGAGGUAUCCCAUCCAGAUUUCGCUCCAGAUCAACCCAUCUUCCAGGAGACAGGGAAGGGAAAUGGCUGUUAUGGAGCCAGCUCAGAUGCCGGUGACCUUCGAGGAGGUGGCUGUGUAUUUCACCCAGGGGCAGGGGGCUCUGCUGGACCCUGCUCAGAGAGCCCUCUACAGGGAUAUCAUGCAGGAGAACUACGAGACGGUGACCUCGCUGGGUAAGGGGUUCCCAUCCCCUCAAUUAUUAGAAGCCGUGGGGCCUCCAUGUCUGAAUCUGGUCAGUUUCUUCCCUGGUCAGUUAGAUCAGAGGAGAAUGGGUUCCAUAAUGCACAGCUGCCAUGAGAGAGACUUGCAUCUCCGUGCCCUCUCCAGUGGGACAUGGGAGUCAAAACCCAAUGGACAAGCUAAACUAUCCCCACCCCUCCAACUUUCAAAGGGGUAGAAUUCAUUCAUUGUCCUGCCUGUAUUGAUUCCCAGUCGCACACAGAAUCCUUAUUUACCUCCCUCCUUGGGACUAGCUCCAGCUGUGGGGAGGACUCUAGCCUCUGCAGGUUUAGAAAUAGGCAGGGGUUUAACUCUACAGCUGGUUGUGAGUCAGCAAGGCCCCCAGAUUGCGCAGAUCCUGGGAACUCCUAGUUAGGAUGUAGCAAUUCCCCUCACCUCCCCAGACGUCUGCCUCUCACAACAGGGCUCAGCAAUCCUGUUCCCUUCCUCUUGGAUUCCAAAUUCCUCCAGCACAGCACCGGGACAUAGAAUGUCCUUUGAGAGACUGUGUGUCACAAUCCUUCAUGCAUCCUGAUUUGGUCUGAUUUCACCCCCUGUGCAGGAUUUCCCAUUCCCAAACCUGACCUGAUCUCCCAGCUGGAAUGAGGGGAGGAGCCAUGGGUCCUGGAUCUCCAGGCCUGUGAGGAAAGAAAGAUCCUGAGAGGCACCUGCACCGCAGGUGCUACGAGAGUGAGUGAGAAUGAGGAUGUUCCUGGGGAAGUGGAUGAAUCUAUUGUAUGUGGAGGAGGACACAAGGAUCCCACAGCCCAGCAGAGACAUCCCAGUGAAGAGAAACCCUAUCAGUGCCUCAAAUGUGGGAAAGAUCACAGCUUGUGACACAUCAGACAAUCCAUACUGGAGAGAAACCCCUUCAAUGCUUGGACCGUGGCAAAAGCUUCAAUAAUUGCUCAGACCUAAAUAACUAUGGGAGAAGCCACACAGGAGAGAAACCCCAUAAGUACUUGAACUGUGGGAAAAGUUUCACACAGAUAUCAGGCCUGGUUAAACAUGGGAGAAUCCACACAGAAGAGAGACCCCAUAAGUGCUUGGACUAUGGGAAAAGUUUCACACACAGAUCACACCUCACUAAACAUGAGAGAAUCCACACAGCAUCUAAACUUCUGUGAUCCAUAGCCAGAAAGGGUGAAGCAACUUGCAGGCUAAUUGAUCCAGAUUCAACCUUUAGAGCCAUGCUUUGUAAGUGUGUAAAUGGUAUUUAGGGCUGUUCCAUGUUCUAUAGGCUUGAGCUUUGAAAUGUAAACUUGUAUUCCUAAAGAAUUGGAAGAAGAUGGUAACUGUAGUAGUCUCUGUUUACCUAUAUCUUGUUAGAGGUUAACAAUAUAACCAAACGGUUCCUCUCUAGGGCUGUAUUCUGUUAAUGUGGAGAUCAAAAGGAAAAAUUAACAUUUAGAUAAAACUUGGGUGUAAUAAUGUCAUUGUCUGCAUGUCUCUGUAAAGUUUGUGGUAAACAGUUUAUGAACUGCUUAAUGGAUAAUCACCUUAUCUUAAUCCAUGUAGUUAAUUGCCGGUGAUGUUUAGGAAAUACAAGGUUACUUCAAAACCCUAUUGUUCAUCCCAGGACUGCGUGCUGUCAGGAGGCUGCAAAAUUCUAUAUAAAAGCUGUUGGGACCUGAUCCUUUUCUCUCAGAUCUUCUUAAGCUUUAUUCAGAGGGAGUUUCAGUCUUAAGACUGAGAUCUCCAGUCCCCUCUGGACUGCCCUGAUAUUGAACAUAUUGACAUUAGACUAGAACCUGAUGAAAUGAUUCUAAAAAGGACUCUUCAAUUCUAAAGCACCAUCUCUGCCGUGAAAUUGGCCUAAGGACUCUAUUCGUGUCUGUAUGUAUAACGAUCAAUACUCUUUCUUUUCUUCUUUUAAUACAUUUUACUUUUGUUAAUAAGAAUUGGCUGUAAGCAUGUAUAUGGGUAAGAACUGAAGUAUUCAUUAACUUCUUGGGUAAUGUCUCCGAUCCUUUGGGAUUAGUAGAACUUGUUAGAUGAUGAACAAGAUUUUCACUAAUCCGCAUUAUAUUUAACUGGGCUGUCUGGAAGGGAGCCCAAGGCUGGGUUGCUUUAAGGAAGGGGUAGUCAAUAGGCAGUCUGUGCGCCAAAUCUAGACAGCCAGAUGCUUUUAAACGGAACCCUGAAAAUUUAUUUAUCUAUUAUUAUUAUUAUUAUUUAUUAUUAUUACUGUUGUGGGUUUUUUUUAUUAUUUUCUCUGGAGAGUGGACCUUGUCUAUGCCUUGACAAAGAAAUUUUGACCUUGACAAAAAAGAAUUGAUGACCUGUGCUUUAAGGGAACUGUGUUUUGGCUUCUGGGAAACCAGUAAGAUAUGCAUAGAAGGUGUUUUAUUGCUGGCUUGGUGAAUCUAAGUAUUGGAAUAUCCACCAGUUUUGGGGAUUGUCUGCCCCAUUCUUUGCAGUUUGUCCUAACUGAUCAAGCUUAGCGUGCUCCCCCAACCCCUCUGGGAGCCUGC